rnacentral:tRNA from 1 species
UGUUCUGUGGCUUAGUUGGUUAAAGCGCCGUUCUAGCGAAUACGCAGUCGUGGGUACGAAUCCCCUCAGAACAC